GCCCCAGUAGCGGCGAGCGAAGCGGCAACAGCCCAGAUUUGAAAUCCGGCGUUCUUUGGGCGCCCGAGUUGUAAUCUGCAGAUGGGUUUUCCGGUGAGGCACACGUCCAAGUUCCCUGGAAUGGGACGCCGCAGAGGGUGAGAGCCCCGUACUGGCGCCGUGCCGAGCCUCUGUGAGGCCCAUUCGACGAGUCGAGUAGUUUGGGAAUGCUGCUCUAAUUGCGAGGUAAAUCUCUCGUAAGGCUAAAUACCGGCCAGAGACCGAUAGCGCACAAGUAGCGUGAGCGAAAGAUGAAAAGAGCCUUGGAUAAGGGCGUCAAAAAGCAUGUGAAAUCGUUAUGGGGGAAGCGCUCGUCGCCAGACGUGGCGGCGGCUGGUUAGCCGGCGUUCUCGCCGGCGCACUCGGACCGCCGCCAGGCCAGCAACAGCUCGGACCGGGGCCCACUGCCGGAGGGAACGUGGCUCCUUUCGGGGAGUGUUAUAGCCCUUCGGCGACGCCCUGGACCGGGCUGAGGACCGCGCCUCGCGCACGGAUGCUGGCGUAAUGGCGCCUAGCGACCCGUCUUGAAACACGGACCAAGGAGUUGACCUAGCGCGCGAGUGUACGGGUGUCAAGCCCCUGCGCGCAGUGAAAGCAAACGCUGGUGGGAGCCUUCGGGCGCACCAUCGACCGAUCCUGAUGCUCCGCGGAUGGAUUUGAGUAGGAGCGUGCUGGGUCUGACCCGAAAGAAGGUGAACUAUGCAUGGGUAGGGUGAAGCCAGAGGAAACUCUGGUGGAGGCUCGCAGCGGUUCUGACGUGCAAAUCGAUCGUCAAACCUGUGCAUGGGGGCGAAAGACCA
rnacentral:rRNA from 1 species